rnacentral:rRNA from 1 species
GACGAACGCUGGCGGCGUGCUUAACACAUGCAAGUCGAACGGAAAGGCCCUGCUUUUGUGGGGUUCUCGAGUGGCGAACGGGUGAGUAACACGUGAGUAACCUGCUCUUGACUUUGGGAUAACUUCAGGUAACUGGGGCUAAUACCGGAUCGGAGCUCCUCCUGCAUGGAGGGGGUUGGAAAGUUUCGGCGGGUGGGGAUGGACUCGCGGCUUAUCAGCUUGUUGGUGGGGUAGUGGCUUACCAAGGCUUUGCCGGGUAGCCGGCCUGAGAGGGUGACCGGGCACAUUGGGACUGGGGUAGGGGCCAGACUGAUUCGGGAGGCAGGGGUGGAAGUAUUGCACAAUGGGCGGAAGCGUGAUGCAGAGGCGCCGCGUGCGGGAUGACGGCCUUCGGGUUGUAAACCGCUUUCGCCUGAGACGAAGCGUGAGUGACGGUAAUGGGUAAAGAAGCACCGGCUAACUACGUG